ensembl:lncRNA
CUUUGUUACACAGAAGAUGAGACGGUGAGGUCACGUAACAGGACAUGAGUCUAGUCGUCACAGGGGUGUCCAAUUCUCCACCAGGCCCUCUCAAUUUCAUAUGAUCAAAAAAAGUCAGAAGCGACGCGACGUCUGUGUUUGGGGCAGACCGCCUAAUGAAUAGAGGAAUGCAAAUGGAGGUAAAACACUGAUUUAUCAGGCUGAUUGUAAUGGAUCGUGCUCUGGGCUCAUUAAUAGCAAAUGAGGGAAGUCUUGUUGAUGUCUCACGGCCAUCUUGUGUGUGUGUGAGAUCUGGGUCUCAGAGUCUGAGAAAG